AGAUGAGACGACGAAGGAAAAAAUAACAAAUUAUAUUUUGCAAAAAAAAAAUCAUUGGAAAAAAAAACAAAUAUAAAAUGAACCGCUAUUUCGGAGCAGAAAAAAAAGGUUCAACGAGACAGAAUCUACUGAUUGUGAGAAAGACUAAGGAUGAAUUUAAUCCAAUAGUGGACUCAAUUUCAAUGCGAUAAAUAAAUCGAGGUAUGGAGCCGAGUAAGUCGAAUGGGAAAUUAAAUCAUGAUAGAUCGUGGAUUGAUUCUACUCCGAUCAUCUCCCCAUGUCCUUGCCCAUAAGUUCCGAAUGUCC